rnacentral:rRNA from 1 species
UGGAGCCGACCUUGAAAUACCACCCUUUAAUGUUUGAUGUUCUAACGUUGACCCGUGAUCCGGGUUGCGGACAGUGUCUGGUGGGUAGUUUGACUGGGGCGGUCUCCUCCUAAAGAGUAACGGAGGAGCACGAAGGUUGGCUAAUCCUGGUCGGACAUCAGGAGGUUAGUGCAAUGGCAUAAGCCAGCUUGACUGCGAGCGUGACGGCGCGAGCAGGUGCGAAAGCAGGUCAUAGUGAUCCGGUGGUUCUGAAUGGAAGGGCCAUCGCUCAACGGAUAAAAGGUACUCCGGGGAUAACAGGCUGAUACCGCCCAAGAGUUCAUAUCGACGGCGGUGUUUGGCACCUCGAUGUCGGCUCAUCACAUCCUGGGGCUGAAGUAGGUCCCAAGGGUAUGGCUGUUCGCCAUUUAAAGUGGUACGCGAGCUGGGUUUAGAACGUCGUGAGACAGUUCGGUCCCUAUCUGCCGUGGGCGCUGGAGAACUGAGGGGGGCUGCUCCUAGUACGA